UAGGAAAACAAUAAUAAAUUCGGUCUUACAUCCAGUGGACAACAAUAAUUAAUUCGGUCUUACAUCGAGUGGACAACAAAUUAAUUCGGUCUUACAUACGUAGAGAGUGCACAACAAUAAAUAAUUCGGUCUUACGAGGAGUGGACAAUAAAAAGACUGUGGUGUUUUUGUUCGUUUUUUUCUUUGCUUCCAUAUGUGAACUUCGGCCUACGGAUAUACGAGCCACUUGUGAAGGAAGUUUUCUGCGCGCCAUCUUCUGACUUGCAAAGUAGGAUCACGACCCAGCUGUGAAGGAAAGGCGUUUUGACGAGUGCCACUG